rnacentral:rRNA from 1 species
CGUGUAGGCGGGUGAAUAAGUCAGAAGUGAAAUCCAAUAGCUCAACUAUCGAACUGCUUUUGAAACUGUAUACCUAGAAUGUGGGAGAGGCAGACGGAAUUUCUGGUGUAGGGGUAAAAUCCGUAGAGAUCAGAAGGAAUACCGAUUGCGAAGGCGAUCUGCUGGAACAUUAUUGACGCUGAGACGCGAAAGCGUGGGGAGCAAACA